CCUACGGGGGGCAGCAGUGGGGAAUAUUGGACAAUGGGGGAAACCCUGAUCCAGCGACGCCGCGUGAGUGAAGAAGUAUUUCGGUACGUAAAGCUCUAUCAGCAGGAAAGAAACUGACGGUACCUGACUAAGAAGCCCCGGCUAACUACGUGCCAGCAGCCGCGGUAAUACGUAGGGGGCAAGCGUUAUCCGGAUUUACUGGGGGGAAAGGGAGCGUAGACGGCAGCGCAAGUCUGAAGUGAAAUGCCGGGGCCCAACCCCGGAACUGCUUUGGAAACUGUGAGGCUAGAGUGCAGGAGAGGUAAGAGGAAUUCCUGGUGUAGCGGUGAAAUGCGUAGAGAGCAGGAGGAACACCGGUGGCGAAGGCGGCUUACUGGACUGUAACUGACGUUGAGGCUCGAAGGCGUGGGGAGCAAACAGGAUUAGAUACCCUAGUAGUC
rnacentral:rRNA from 1 species